GGAUGCUGCUAGUGUCAAACUGUGCCCACCCCUCACCUGCAAAUCAUUGGCCAUCUUUUCCUUGAGCUCGGUAAAGAUCUGAAGAUCAAUUCUGAAGCAGUGGGCAGUUUGUUUAGAGGUCUUGACUGAAAAUGUCUUUAAAGAGGAGAUUACUCUCCACGUUGUUGUGCUGUGUGUACUGUGUGGCAUCACUCUUCUGCCUUAACCCGGACAGAAACAACUGUGUCUCACAUGGUGCCCGGAAUUUGGUAUCAGUUAUUCAGCAGCUGUACCAGCGUGUGAUGAGGCUUCUACGCACCACUCUGUGACUUUUCUCAAACAAGAGGGAAGCUGAAACCACAAGGAUCAUAUUACAGAAUACUUAUCAAGAGACAGUAUAACUGAUAUAAAGUAAUGGUCAUCAACUUUAAAAGAUAUUCCCCAACAUGAUUAAAGGUGCAUCUGCUUAAAAUGGGUUGAAGUGUGCAUUUGGGAAUGAUGCUGUUGUCUUUGUGAGAGGGUAGUCCUGAUAAAGAAGGAACAUUUUACUUAAAACUCCACGCAAUAUGCUAUAUCAAAACUUACAAAAAUGUAAUACACAGACCGAAUGCUUAGAUAAUAUAGAGAGAGAGACAAUAUGUGAUUCUUUGGUUGAACAAAGAGACAUUAUUAUAAAAGUUAUUUUCUUUGCAGUCUUGAGGUGUGACAUCCAGUGAAAAACAGAAUUUCUUAAACUAUGACCUUCAUAAUCCUGAGGGAUAAUUGUUAUAAAAGGAAGGUUAUGUGUACAACUGAAGUUAAAUGCACAAGGCCUGUGGGAAUUUAUAUUAUUUGGCUAGACGUAUUUAACAGGGAAAAGA